UGCAGUCGAACGGCAGCAUGGGUGCUUGCACCUGAUGGCGAGUGGCGAACGCCUGAGUAAUGCAUCGGAACGUACCCGGAAGUGGGGGAUAACGUAUCGAAAGUUACGCUAAUACCGCAUAUUCUGUGAGCAGGAAAGCGGGGGAUCGCAAGACCUCGCGCUUCCGGAGCGGCCGAUGUCGGAUUAGCUAGUUGGCGGGGUAAAGGCCCACCAAGGCAACGAUCCGUAGCGGGUCUGAGAGGAUGAUCCGCCACACUGGGACUGAGACACGGCCCAGACUCCUACGGGAGGCAGCAGUGGGGAAUUUUGGACAAUGGGGGCAACCCUGAUCCAGCCAUGCCGCGUGAGUGAAGAAGGCUUUCGGGUUGUAAAGCUCUUUCGGCCGGGAAGAAAUCGCAUCUCCUAAUACGGGGUGUGGAUGACGGUACCGGAAUAAGAAGCACCGGCUAACUACGUGCCAGCAGCCGCGGUAAUACGUAGGGUGCGAGCGUUAAUCGGAAUUACUGGGCGUAAAGCGUGCGCAGGCGGUUUCGUAAGACAGAGGUGAAAUCCCCGGGCUCAACCUGGGAACUGCCUUUGUGACUGCGAGGCUAGAGUAUGGCAGAGGGGGGUGGAAUUCCACGUGUAGCAGUGAAAUGCGUAGAGAUGUGGAGGAACACCGAUGGCGAAGGCAGCCCCCUGGGCCAAUACUGACGCUCAUGCACGAAAAGCGUGGGGAGCAAAACAGCGAUUAGAUACCCUGGUAGUCCACGCCCCUAAAACGAUGUUCAACUAGGUGUUGGGGAGGGGUUUAAACCUUUUUUAGUACCGUA
rnacentral:rRNA from 1 species